rnacentral:rRNA from 1 species
AGCUCCAAUAGCGUAUAUUAAAGUUGUUGCAGUUAAAAAGCUCGUAGUUGGAUUUCUGGUGGGAGCGACCGGUCCGAUGCUUAGCAUGGGUACUUGCGUCGUCUCCGGCCAUCCUUGGGGAGAGUCUGUCUGGCAUUAAGUUGUCGGGCAGAGGAUCCUCAUCGUUUACUGUGAAAAAAUUAGAGUGUUCAAAGCAGGCUUAUGCCGUUGAAUAUAUUAGCAUGGAAUAAUAAGAUAGGACUUUGGUACUAUUUUGUUGGUUUGCGCACCAAAGUAAUGAUUAAUAGGGACAGUUGGGGAUAUUCGUAUUUCGUUGUCAGAGGUGAAAUUCUUGGAUUUACGAAAGACGAACUACUGCGAAAGCAUUUAUCAAGGAUGUUUUCA